UAGCAGACCUCCUAUCUCUCUCAAACUCACCUGUCAUGUGGUCUUUGCUUCAGUGUGAACUAUGCUGCUAGCAGUGCAGACACUACCUGCUGGUGGAACCAGUUCCACACAAGAGGCCAACUCGCCAGACUUCCUACUGCAUUCCUGAUAUAAUCCAUUUAAUCUUCCCUGUGGCACAGCUCAAUUUCUUCUCCAGAUGUUCCUGGAUCAAGUUGCAAGAUUGCAUCCAAUGGAUUUAACAAGAUGACAAUUUCAACAUGUACAGAACUAUCACUCUGGAGUGACAGUCCUUGCAAAAGUCUCUAAAGUGCCACAAGUACUCCUGUUCUCAUUGUCUCUAAGUCCAGAACUUGAAAGGACUUCAUCAUAAACAGCAUCUUUCAGACAACGGAAAUGGGACAGCUCAGAAGAAUGGUAAUGGGAUAUGAACUUUCAUUUCUACAUCAGAAGCUCAAACCCAGGUUAGUAUUGAUUCACUUAUUACUGACAGUUUUCAAUUGGAGUUAUACAAGUGCAGAAAAAAGCCAUGGACUUGCUGCACAUUUGUUU